UGCCAGAAAAAAUUAUAAAUACAAGGUCAGAUAAAAUAAAAAGAUCCUCAUCUGUGUCCAUAUUGAUAAUGAAAUACUUGGUGAUUAGCCAUAAGAGAAACAUUCUUACUGCAGGAUCAAAUUUGGCUUUCUGAUUUUCCCUUCCUAGCUAGAAAAUCAGCUAAAGACCUAAUGAAUAGAAAGAAUGCCGAUCUACAUGACGAGAAUAGGUGGAGGAGAAAGCCUAAUUAAAGGGAGACAACUCUUAUAUAUGUAUAUCAAGGUUAAGCUUGUAUCAAAAGUUUUCAUUAUAUUAAAAGCUUCUUAGUAACUAAUAUUUUAUUCAACUCUGUUUCACAAGAAUACUUUAAAAGAAUGAACCAAACUACUAAUUAAAAAAACAUGAUACUGAUGUAAUGAGUUUUCUCCCUUUAUUUUAUUGAAAGGGAGAUACAAUGUAGUAAUUGUCGACAUAAUAUCUUUUCUUGCAGUAUGAAAGUUUGCUUGACUAUUUGUUAUUUAUUCUGAAUGGACAAAAUGAGAAUCAAUCUACUUUGAAUGAAGCAUAUUUAACCUACACUGCACACAACAACUUUCUUCACAUUAACAAUCAAUUAAAUAUAACAUCUUGUAGAUGAAAAAGGCUUCAUUAUGUGUCUUGCUGCAGGUCAUUUAUACAAUAUCAAUUUGCAAAUAAUAUACAUGACAUUAUACACUGCUGGGAAUCAUACAGUUUAUAAAAACUCUCAACACUGGGAAAAAUACAGUUUUAUAUAAAGUUUCACUGAAAAAAAACACUGCGGGAAGCAUACAGUUUCUUUACUGCUUGGAAUAUCACUACGUAAUUUCAUAAGCCUUAUAUUAUAAAGCAGUCAAGUAAACAACCAGACAUAAAAUUACAGAAAUGAAGCUGUAUUUAGAAUCAUAUUUAUCUAUAGUUUUGCUGUGUUUACAUUCCCCACACAAUAUUAUAGCUAAUUGUAAAAAAUUUAACCUUUGUAAAAUUAACAAGGUUUAAUAACAUAUACAAAAUGUCGGGUAAGGGCAUUUAGCAAGGUUCCAUCAAGCUCAGUACAAGUACAUAAAAAUAAGAAGAUGUGAUAUGAUUGUAUGUAACUUGACUAAACUAUCUAAUAAUUAUUGUAGAAAUCAAAAGGUUUCCACCAACAGGGUACAUGUAUUAACUGUUUUAACUGUCCAGUAAUUAUAGUGGAAAUAAAAAACAUUCCAAAAUUUAGGGUACCUGUAGAAAUUAACAAAAAUCUUUGAUAACAUACUUAGUUGCUGACUUUGAAUUUACUUCACAAUUUUUUAUUUUAACUAUGGCACAUUUAAAAGGUCACUCAUCCAUAUCAGAUAUAUAUCAUAAUUUUUAUUUUACAUCUGAAUGCUUGUGUAUAAAUUUAUGCAUAUCAUAUGAGAGCGAGAGACUAAUCUAAAGGAGUCAUACUCGUCUAAAUACUUCUACUAAUUUUGUUAAAAUUCUGUCCAUCUGACUUGUAUGACUACCAUGAAGGAUUAUAGGUUGGUCCUCAAUUAACAUGACCAAAUGUAAUAUAGCUGAGAGAGAAGGAGGAGGAAUAACUCCAAACCAACAGGUAAUGUCACAGUUCUGUUAUACAAUGAAAAUCUCAGUUCACAAAUCCAUCCUCACCACUCUUUGGUUACACAAAGUUUAGUACCUGAUGGCCUUCUGCAUCUCCUAAUCAAUUUUACUUUAUACUAAAUUUUGAAGAAAAGAGGGUGUUGAAAUUGAAACCUUUAGAAUUUGAUUACUAAAAAAAAGUAACUUCCUUAUUUAAUAUGUUUCAUCAUCUAGAAAGUCAGCAGACAAUG
rnacentral:lncRNA from 1 species